rnacentral:rRNA from 1 species
AUUGAACGCUGGCGGCAUGCCUUACACAUGCAAGUCGAACGGUAACAGGUUAAGCUGACGAGUGGCGAACGGGUGAGUAAUGUAUCGGAACGUGCCCAGUCGUGGGGGAUAACUGCUCGAAAGAGCAGCUAAUACCGCAUACGACCUGAGGGUGAAAGCGGGGGAUCGCAAGACCUCGCGCGAUUGGAGCGGCCGAUAUCAGAUUAGGUAGUUGGUGGGGUAAAGGCCUACCAAGCCUACGAUCUGUAGCUGGUCUGAGAGGACGACCAGCCACACUGGGACUGAGACACGGCCCAGACUCCUAUGGGAGGCAGCAGUGGGGAAUAUUGGACAAUGGGGGGAACCCUGAUCCAGCCAUGCCGCGUGUGUGAAGAAGGCCUUAUGGUUGUAAAGCACUUUAAGCGAGGAGGAGGCUUCUUUGGUUAAUACCCAAAGUAAGUGGACGUUACUCGCAGAAUAAGCACCGGCUAACUCUGUGCCAGCCGCCGCAGUAAGAC